AUACCCGGCGGGGAAUCGGACCCCGGUCUCCCGCGUGGCAGGCGGGGGUACUGACCACUAUACUACGGAGGA
rnacentral:tRNA from 13 species